GUAGGGAAUCUUCCACAAUGGACGAAAGUCUGAUGGAGCAACGCCGCGUGAGUGAAGAAGGUUUUCGGAUCGUAAAACUCUGUUGUUGGAGAAGAACACGUUUGAGAGUAACUGUUCAGACGUUGACGGUAUCCAACCAGAAAGCCACGGCUAACUACGUGCCAGCAGCCGCGGUAAUACGUAGGUGGCAAGCGUUAUCCGGAUUUAUUGGGCGUAAAGCGAGCGCAGGCGGUUUCUUAAGUCUGAUGUGAAAGCCUUCGGCUUAACCGAAGAAGUGCAUCGGAAACUGGGAAACUUGAGUGCAGAAGAGGAGAGUGGAAUUCCAUGUGUAGCGGUGAAAUGCGUAGAUAUAUGGAGGAACACCAGUGGCGAAAGCGGCUCUCUGGUCUGUAACUGACGCUGAGGUUCGAAAGCGUGGGUAGCAAACAGGAUUAGAUACCCGGGUAGUCC
rnacentral:rRNA from 1 species